CUCUAAACACAAAUGUGAUCAGCAUCUCUCCUUGUCCUUUUGAGAGUCAGUAGCAGCUUUGUCGAGUGGCUUGAUAAUUUUUGCGCAGAAUUCAGUUGGACUUCUGUGGUCAGCACCAUAAAAAAUGACGCGGGAGGAUCGUCAGCUGAGCCUUGCCUGCAACAAGCAGUAAUGGUUUCCUAAGGUGGAGUUUCCUCUCUUUUUGGAAUCUAGUCACGUGUCAGUGCCCUCCAGGAUUUAGCAACGUUCCGUCCGCGAGCCUUGAGCAGUGGUCACUUAGAAAAGCAGGAAUGCAAGGGGGAACAAAACCAGGAAAGGAUAGAAGGGAUGGAGGAGCCUUGCUCCAGCCUGGUACACUGCUCAAGGACUUGGCAGUCUGACUCCUGAUCCAAGCCCUUCCUUUAGACUGCUGCCUGACCUAAGAGAGUCCCUUCCAGGUUCCACGCGCCAUCCCACAGUCACGUCUGCUGGAUGAGCUGGGAGCUGACAGCCUCGAGAGGAGCUCUCCGUGAUCUGGAGUUUCAAGUAUCAGCUUGCUGGAAGUGCCACGGAGAGGGAGGAGGGAGGGAAGUGGUGUGAGCUUUGCCAACACACCUGCACAAGCUCUGGGCUCUCUCCUGGACACUCCGUGUGCUAAUGAUGUAUAACCUGCAGAGCCUGGCAGCUCCCUCGCUGAAGACUCUACCAGACACACUGUGCAUGCCUCUGAUUUCUAAUUUCUUAAAACAAGUAAUAAACCGCCCCCCUCCCUCAGCCCUGUGCUGUAGGUAAAUGCUCAGGAUGGAAACUGAGAUGUGUUCAGCUGGGCAGAGCUUCUACCAAGGCAAGGAACAAAUGACAAUUUAAUUAUGGUGCUUUAGGUCUAUGUAAUUCCUCUUGUAAAGCAGAAGGGAGGAAAAAAGCUCAAAGAGAGACAGAGUUCAUUUCUGCUCCAAUGUUCUGCUAAUUUUUCUUUUUACUAUUAGAGAUUCAUCUGGAUCCUAUUUCUAAUCCACUCUCAAAUUUGCUCGAAUUAAAAUCCCAGAUCACUGCUGUGUUUUCAAGUUGAAGUGUGCAUAGUAGCCAAGGUUUAUAUUGCAAUUUCUGGAGUUAUGGAAUGAUGAGCUCCAAAAGCGGAAAGAGUGUUGGAUGCCCAAGUGCUGGGGGAAAAAAACCUGGUUGGCAUCGGUGUUAUUUGGAAUUGGAGCUCAUCUGUAGAAUAACUAGCCUUGAAGUUAAUACAUGGCUACAUUUUACAUGUGGUUCUGCACACUGCAAUUGGUGGCCAUGGAAGAGAAAGGGCUGCCAUAGUGGAGAUGUAGGAAUGGGAAGUGCUACUUAAUUAUAAAGCCUUGAUAUUUUUGAACUUUCCUCUGAAAUAUAAAAGUUCCCCCACUAGUUUGGGACUUAUUUUAAUAAGAAAUUCACUU